rnacentral:rRNA from 1 species
UACGUAGGGACCGAGCGUUGUCCGGAAUCAUUGGGCGUAAAGAGCGUGUAGGCGGCCAAGCAGGUCCGUUGUGAAAACUGGAGGCUUAACCUCCAGACGUCGACGGAAACCGCGCGGCUAGAGUCCGGAAGAGGAGAGUGGAAUUCCUGGUGUAGCGGUGAAAUGCGCAGAUAUCAGGAAGAACACCAAUGGCGAAGGCAGCUCUCUGGGACGGUACUGACGCUGAGACGCGAAAGCGUGGGGAGCGAACAGG